rnacentral:lncRNA from 1 species
UUAAUAAACUAGUAAAAGCAGUACUCAUGUAAUAAGAUAAUAAAAGCAUAUAUAAGUGGAUCAUUUCAGCAUUACAGGACAAAGAGCUCGAGCUCCAGCAUGACAAUUAUUAGCAUAUGAUCAGAUACAUCUUACAGAAAGGCCCACAAAGUGAGGACUUAUUUUCUUAUUCCCAUAUUAUUUAUAGGGCUAUGUAUAUUUGGGAAGCAGCUCAAGAGUGAGAGGUUCUUAAUAGAACCUACCACCAGUGUUGAACUUGGCAGUUCCGAAAUUCUGCNNNNNNNNNNNNNNNNNNNNNNNNNNNNNNNNNNNNNNNNNNNNNNNNNNNNNNNNNNNNNNNNNNNNNNNNNNNNNNNNNNNNNNNNNNNNNNNNNNNNCCUAGACCUAGUAUUAAUAAACUAGUAAAAGCAGUACUCAUGUAAUAAGAUAAUAAAAGCAUAUAUAAGUGGAUCAUUUCAGCAUUACAGGACAAAGAGCUCGAGCUCCAGCAUGACAAUUAUUAGCAUAUGAUCAGAUACAUCUUACAGAAAGGCCCACAAAGUGAGGACUUAUUUUCUUAUUCCCAUAUUAUUUAUAGGGCUAUGUAUAUUUGGGAAGCAGCUCAAGAGUGAGAGGUUCUUAAUAGAACCUACCACCAGUGUUGAACUUGGCAGUUCCGAAAUUCUGCUUUCCCCCACCAGAGUUGUUGAAAGCAUCUUUGGUGCCAUUGUUGGCAGCGCAAGGUGUCCAUCUACCCUUGGCAACUUGUGCACCUGUGUUGAACUCUCCCUGAUCGAAGUCUUGUCCACCUCCUCCCGAGUUCUUGAAGGCAUUCUCAGUGCCGUUGUUUUUACCCGAGCUAAAGAUGCCCAAGAAAGACAUGGUCGAUAUUUGGUUUAGGAAAUUAAGGAUCUUAUUACUUUCUCACACAAGUGUUGUGUAUAUCUCUACUUGCCUUGAUGUUUGCUACAAACCUAACCCUCAUUUUAUAGACGCGGAUACAAGAAUCUUGUGUAACUAUACCUUUGUUAGGGUUAGGCUCAAGAAUAUUUGGAGUAAGAUAAGUAUUCCAUUGGGAUAGGACUGCACUAUUUUCGGAUUUAUACUCUUUGGUCCUCAUCUAAUGUUCUCUUUUGGAAACAUAGUUUUGUUUCUAACAUUGCUUUAAUGAUUUUGAACAUCAUUUGAAGAUCUUAAUGUAUAUAAGCUAAAGUUUUCAAAUAGGAUGAUUGAUUACAUUUGGAAAAGUUUUCGUAUGUAAAAUAGAGCAUCCAAAAAUUUCAAAUAUUGAGUCUUAACUAUCUUUAAAUAAUUUUUUUUAUUUAUGAUUACAAAGUGUUUUAAGUAGUGUUAUGCCUUAAAGAUUAAUAUUAAGAAAAUACUAGAAAGAUUUUGAAUGAACACUGCUUAACUGAAAAAAUUUCGAAAAACAAAGGCACAUUUGGUCAUUGUAUUAAAGCAUUUUUCAAAAAAAAAAUAUAGAGUAAAGUAUAAUUGUUUCUCAACAUUUAAAUUAAGUUUAAAGUAUUUUAAAAAUAUUUUUAAUAGUGAAAUCUUGAAAAUAUAAGGUUGAGAUAUUUCAGAAAAUAAAAGAUUAUGUUUCAAGAAUACUUUUAUCAACAAGAAAGAAUAAAUUAAUUUGAACAAGUUCAGGAGUGGUCCAACCCUUAUAUAAAUCUUAAAAAAAAACUUAGCCUCCCCUAACAGUACCAAAAAACACCUCCUACAAAAAGCUAACAAAGCUCAAAUAAACACCCAAAACACAAAGAGACAAACCCACACUGCAGAAAAAACAUCGAUUAACUAAUCUCAUACAAACGAAAGAAUCAAGACAUCAAUCAAAAUAAGAGAAAAAAGAUGAGGAUGUCUUGGAGAUGACCCACGACCAAACCUUCGAUUAAACAAGAGUAAAAAUUUAUGAAACAUUAAUCACACCACCUUUAAAGAUGACUUUGUUCAUGUGCUUCCAGAUCUUACUUACUACAUCAAUCCAAAUCACGUUUCAAACAUCAUUAAUAGAUUCAGAUGCUCUACCCAACUUAAACUGUAAAAAAUGAUAACAUGAGUCAUUGUGAUCCAUAGACACCACUCCUAGCCAAGCAUAACAAUGACUCCAAAUGAGCCAAACUAUUUUGCACUCAAAGAACAAAUGGCGGCACGUCUCCUCUUCUACUCCACACAAACUACACAAAAGACUUUCUACCACAACCCCACGCCUUUCCAAAUUCAUCCUGGUAGCAAUCUUAUUUGACAACACCCUCCAAGCAGUGACUUGAGAAGAGGGCAAAACUUUACACCUCCAAAAUCUGUCGUACAAAUACUUAUUAUCUCCCUCUACAUCUUUCCUUAAAACAACAUAGGAAGAUUUUACCGAGUACCUUAAGAAAUCUUUAUCCUUCCACUCCCAGCUAUCCUCAAUUCCCACAUCAGGCCUCAACCCUUGAAGUUCCUGUAAAAAAUACUCUAAAGGUUUUUCCCAUUCAAAAAGCCUCAUUCUCCAAGCUACAUGCCACACCCAAACCACCAUUAACCCAACCUCCAAACUCUGCCAACUUGGAAUCAUAGGAUGUGCUCAAGGAAUACAACCUCGAAAACACGUUAUUCAAAGACCACAUCCCGGCCAGUUAUCCUCCCAAAAGGAUAUAUCCUUCCCAUUUCCAAUCUUCCAAAAGAAAGCAUCAUCAAAAUUUUGUCCCCAUCCCUCCAAACCUCAAACCUCCUUCAAAUCUUUCCACUAAAGAGAAUCCUUGCUAUUUUUCCUUCCCUCUCUCAAACUUCUCUAACUACCAUAGUUAAAUUCAAGAACCUCUUUUCACAAACAACCCUUAUCCAUCCCCAGACGCCAAAUCCAUUUUCCUAAUAAAGUCGCAUAAAAGACCUUUAAAUCAAGGAUUCCAAGACCGCCAGCCUCGCAAGACUCGCAAACCUUUUUUCAAGAUGCGUAGACAAUCUUUCUCCCUUCAAACCCUCAACCCCAUAAAAAAAUCCUCUGAAUUUUUACAAUCUCAUUUACCACUGCAAAUGGCAUUUUGAACAAUGAUAGAUAAAAUAACGGAAUAGACGAAAGGAAAGACUUAAUCAGGCAAAUGCUCUUGGCCAUUGAUAAAAACAUACCUUUCCACUUGCUCAAUCUCGACUUCAAUCUUUCAACCACACCACCUUUAAAAGCACCUAUUUUAUGACACCACCUACCAACAUACCCAAGUAUGUAAAAGAAGUUACCAUGACAUCACAAUUAAGGAUAACUGCAAAGCGUUAAACCAUUGUCUGAUCAACCCCAUCCCACCUAUCCUUCUGUUCAAGAAAUUCAUCUUGAGCCCAGAAGAUAAUUCAAAGCCACCUUGAUGUUAAAGACACUUUUAGUAUUGACUUCACAAAAGAAUAAGGUAUCAUCGACAUAUUGUAACAUGUUAACCUUAACUUUCUUAUUCCCAAUCUCCAAACUAUCUAUCAAAUUCUUCUCCACUGCCAUCCUUGACACACUUGUCAAUCCUUCAGCCGCAAUAAGAAACAAAAGCAUAGCUAACAGGUCUCCUUGACGUAACCCCCUUUUAGGAAAAAACUCAGUUGGACUAUCGUUUACAAGCACCGACAUCGAGGCCGAUAUUAAGCAACCCUCAAUCCAAUGAAUCCAUUUAUCACAGAAACCAAACCUUUUUAGCAUAUAGAAAAUAAACUUCCAACUUACAGAGUCAUAGACCUUCUCAUAAUCAACUUUAAAGAAAACACUACUUUUCUUCUUCCUCUUCAUCUUCUCAAGAACUUCAUUAGCCACUAGUACACUAUCCAAUAGACCCCUCUUUUCAAGAAAAGCAGAUUGUCUGACAUUUAUAACUUUGUUAAUCACCUUCUUCAAUCUUAGAGAUAAAACUUUCGAAAUAAUUUUAUAUAAGCACCCAACUAGUGAAAUAGGUCUAAACUCACUAAGCUGUUGAGGAUUAUCAACUUUAGGAAUCAAGCAUAAGAACGACUCGUUUGAUCCCCUGGGCUAUUUUCCACUUACCGCAAAGUUUUUCACCACUGACACAACAUCCCUUUUAAUGAAGUUCCAACCAAAUUUAAUGAAUCCAAAAUUAAAACCAUCUAGGUCGGGACUCUCCAAACUAUCACAACUCCAAACUGCUUCCUUGAUUUCUUCUUCGAAAAAAUCACCAACCAACAUUUCAUUGUCCUCCUCAGAAAUGGACUUGAAACUAACACUGUCCAACCUGAUCUGAAAAGCGUCUUUCACAUCAAAUCUAGACUUGAAAAAAAUAGCUAACCUUGUCCUUAACCACUUCCUUAUCAGCACACCACUGACCAUUAACUACAACACUGUGUAACUCAUUCCUUGCUCUCCUCCAUUUAAUUGUUGAGUGAAAUUUUUUUGUGUUAAGAUCGCCCUACUUUAACCACUUUUGUCUCAUUUUUUUGAUGCAAAAUCGCCACUUGUUUAAAAAGAUUCCUUUUAAAAUCUGCUAAGAGUAACUUUCUUUCCUCCCUUCUGGACUCGUCUAACUCAUUUUCACCAUCUCUCACAUCCAACUCGGAAAUUCUCUUGUGCAAACUUUCACCCACCGGAUUGACGUUCCCAAAAACUUCUUUGUUCCAGACUUUUAGAUCUGCUUUAAGUUUUUCAACUUCUUUAAAGAUAAACAUUCCUCCUCCUUGUACUUCGUAACUAGACCAUUCCAUUCUUAAAAACUCUUUAUACCUACUAUCACUUGGCCAGACAUCCAAACUCCUAAACGGUUUUGGGCCCCAGUCCACACACACACCUUUUAGCACAAUAGCGCAAUGGUUAGAGACAUAUCUACAUAAAACAAAUUGUUUACUAUGCAGCCAAACUUCAAGCCAUUCCUUUGACACAAGAACUCUGUCAAUCCUACUCUUCUCUAACCCAUUUGGUUUAUACCAAGUAAACUUUCUGCCAACCAUCGGGAUAUCUAACAAUUCAGAAUUUUCAAUAAAGGCAUUUAAACCUUUAUUUCUCUACUAUAAUCGGACACAAAUAUCAGACUCUUCCUCUCUUCCUGCAUUUUGAUAGAGUUAAAAUCCCCAACUACGCACCAGGCCUUAGCAAUUUGAUUCUUCCUGUAGUCGUUAAUCUCUUUCCAAAUCAACAUCUUAUCUUUUAACAAACUGGAGCAAUAAACAUUCACAAUUGUUACUUGUGCUCCAAUCCCACCCUUUAAUAAUAGUAAAUUUCCUUCCAUUAAAGAAAUUAGACAUCUGAAAACAAAUUUUCCUCCACAUCUUAAUAAUCUCACUUGCACUAUUACAAGCACAAUUUUCAACCCACUCUAUUUCGUUAGAACCCCAGAGAAGAUAGCAACACUUAUUUAACUCAAAGCAUUUGGUCUCUUGUAAACAAACCAUAUCUGCUUGUUCCUUACUAAUCAAAUCUCUUAAAUAUUUUCUUUUAAUAUUGCCUCCUAACCUUCUUAUAUUCAUACUAAUUAUUUUCGUCAUCAGAUCAACAGUCUCUUGGGCAUAAGUGAUACCCACGCAUCAGUGAUAUUCAAAAUAAUUAUAGAAAAUAUUUUUAACACUUACAGACGUGUAGGAAGAUAAAAUCGAAAGUUUCUUCUUUGAACGUUUAAUGGCAAAAGGAUGAAGUGCAAAAUGAGAUUUGUGCAAUCCCAAAAAGUUGUCACUUACAAGCUUCAACGCUUCAUUAUCUCUAAAUAUGAAAAAAAGUUUAAAGUUCAAAUAGUGUGAUAUUAUUUGGUUAAGACACAUAAAUAUUAUCAAAGAUAAAAUUUACUUAUUAAGCGUCUGAUGACAAAAAGAUGAUGCUACAAUACGAGAUCUAUGUAAGUGAAAAUUAAAGCAAUAUCAAGUUUCUAUCAAUAAAGAUAUACAGAUAGGAAAAGGAUUCCAAGUGGAAUGAUUGAUCAAGACACAUUAAAAGUUUAAUAUCAAAACAUUUCUUUUUGAGCAUUUGAUACGAAGUAGAUGAUGAAUAGUACAAUACGAUGAAGAUUCAAGUACAAAUAUGAUAAAGCUUAAAUAUCCAAGACAAAUCCAAUUGGUCUUUUUGCCAAGUCUUGGCGCAACAAGUGAUCCAUAAAUAAGUAUUUUUUUUAUCAGUAAAGAAUAAAUAAAAUAAAAUGAGACACUUCAGUGGUGUCUAGACCCUUAUACAAAAAUCCAAAACAAGUUUCCUAGCAUCCUACCAACUAAGGAUCCAACAUACACUACACUACAAACCAAAAUAAUAAACCAGAUCAAGAUAUAGAAACCUAACAAAUACAAUUACAUCAAUCCACCAAAGAGAUCACACCCUGAAUAUAAGACAUACAUCCAACACCUAAACAAGAUCUUUGCCAGCAGGCUGAAGUGCCAUAACCAAAUUUCAAACUCGACAAACCGAUCCUACAAGAAGGAAACGUAAACCAGAAAUAAACCACCAAAGAGAUCACACCCUCAAUACAGAACAUAACAUCCAACAACUAAGCAAUAUAUUUGCAGCAGACUAAAGUGCGCCAAAUAACUAAGUGCCAACAUCAACAAACUGAUCAUGCCGGAAGAAUACAUAAACCAGAAAUAACUUGCAAAAGCACAUAACAACUUCCCAAACUGGACAUAUCAAUAACCAUAAACACCACAUAUUAAUCUCUCAAAGCUCAUACACCAUAAAGAUUUCAACACCAAACCGAAAAACAUAAAUCAAAUACACUUUCCUUUACCGCAGUCCAAGAACAAAAUCAUCAACCCGACAUUGCCAUGUAGAAAAAAAAAACAAGAAAACCUGCACAAACACAUCAUACCUUCCAAACCUGGACAAAAAAAAUUAAAUAAGAAACACCAAAUAUCAAUCUUUCAAAUACCUCAUACAACAUCGAGGUUCCAAACACCAGUCGAAGUAAGAAAAAUUAGUCACACUUGCUUUUGCCGUGAUCCAAGACCAAGUCUUCCUUUGUAUCAUAGUAAAAACCUCCACUAAGUUUUUACAAGCUGUUCAUAUUUAAUAUAUUUUUUGUUAUUGAUAAAAAGAAAAUUAUAUAUAGAGUUAAUCUUAAAUAUCUUUAUUAGCAUUUUGGUUGUAAUAUAAACUAUUAAGCAUGUGAUUUCCAAUUGACAUUUGAUCAUAGGAGAAUGAGUUUAAAAUGCUUUACAUAACAAACUCGUUAUUUGAAAUCUGAUGUACAAUGAUCAUAUGUAUUUGUACCCGACGAUAAUUAGCGUGUUUUUUGUCAUCCAAAUUGUUUUUUAACGAUCUCUAUGCUUUUUAUGCACAAAGUAAUCUCAAGAUCUGGACAUGGCAGAAGGUUUAAACCUAGACCUAGUAUUAAUAAACUAGUAAAAGCAGUACUCAUGUAAUAAGAUAAUAAAAGCAUAUAUAAGUGGAUCAUUUCAGCAUUACAGGACAAAGAGCUCGAGCUCCAGCAUGACAAUUAUUAGCAUAUGAUCAGAUACAUCUUACAGAAAGGCCCACAAAGUGAGGACUUAUUUUCUUAUUCCCAUAUUAUUUAUAGGGCUAUGUAUAUUUGGGAAGCAGCUCAAGAGUGAGAGGUUCUUAAUAGAACCUACCACCAGUGUUGAACUUGGCAGUUCCGAAAUUCUGCUUUCCCCCACCAGAGUUGUUGAAAGCAUCUUUGGUGCCAUUGUUGGCAGCGCAAGGUGUCCAUCUACCCUUGGCAACUUGUGCACCUGUGUUGAACUCUCCCUGAUCGAAGUCUUGUCCACCUCCUCCCGAGUUCUUGAAGGCAUUCUCAGUGCCGUUGUUUUUACCCGAGCUAAAGAUGCCCAAGAAAGACAUGGUCGAUAUUUGGUUUAGGAAAUUAAGGAUCUUAUUACUUUCUCACACAAGUGUUGUGUAUAUCUCUACUUGCCUUGAUGUUUGCUACAAACCUAACCCUCAUUUUAUAGACGCGGAUACAAGAAUCUUGUGUAACUAUACCUUUGUUAGGGUUAGGCUCAAGAAUAUUUGGAGUAAGAUAAGUAUUCCAUUGGGAUAGGACUGCACUAUUUUCGGAUUUAUACUCUUUGGUCCUCAUCUAAUGUUCUCUUGGAUAAAGCAACGACAAUAAUUUCAGGUGAAUAUUAUCAAAGAUAUCUGUUGCCUUCGCAAAGGAUAAAUAUUAUUCGUACUCCAAAUUUAUCAUCAAACUACAUACAAGAUCAAUUCAAAACGAAUGCUAUCAAAUUCUAUACAGAAGAUAUUUUAAUGCAACAAUCACUUUCCUGUUUGGUUGUUAGAAUUACAUAGAUACAAACACGAUAGAGAACCUAACUUGAAUAAGUAGCUGGGCUAAUUAAAUUGAAAUGAUGCUUGUGACUAUUUAACAAAAAUGAAAGACUUUCUUAUUCUUAUUUAAUUGCUCGACGAACAUAAUUUUGAAUUUGUAUCCUAUGGUUAAAUGUAAAGAACAUCAUAUUUGAGUAAGUAAACUGUUCAUGUUAUACCUGUUGUAUGUUUUUUUUUCUGGCUUAACAAAGUUAUGCAUUUGGUAAGAUUUAAUAUACAAGUUGGUGUUUUUGUUGCUAACCAAAAUCACUUUCCUAUAACUAUACUGGUAUGAUGAGCUUAUUGAAAUAAAAUAAAUAAUAAGAUCAUCGAAAGUGGGGUUAGAACUCCUAAUCAAGGAAAUAGCGCAUAUGUAUACCUCAUUUGGAAGAUAUUGUUGGAAUUAAUACAAUAAAAAAAAAUAACGAAAUUGAGUAAUUAAAAAUGCAUAAAAAAAUGGGAAUGUCGAUGUUUAUGUGUAAAACAUGUGUUCGCCUCUCAAUACACUUUAAAAUCGUGAAAGCUAAUAAGUUUAACAUGGAUCUAGGAAAAUGACGAAAGUAGCGAUGGUCUAACCAAUGCUAAGUGAACAUUUAAUAUUAUAAUAUUUUGUUUAUGUGUGGCUUUUAGUGUGGGCUUCAUCCACUCAAAUGAAAAAAAAUGUUGUUCCACAUAGAAGAUAAAAUUAGAGUGGACUUAGACAAUGCAAAAGUAGACUCUAAUAAAAAUGAAAAAGAAAAGAGAUUAUAGUGGGUUAAGCCCACCCAUAAGUUGAUGUAAAGAAAUAAAAAAAUAAAAAUAAAAUUGUUAACUCAAACAUAAGUGGAUGUUAAGAAAAAAAUAAAAGUUAAAAUUUGGAAUUGACUCGUAUUGAUUGAAGUAUCGGUAUGUUGCCGGUCCAUCAUCAAGGCCAUUUAUUGCUGCUUCAAUCUCAUAUUGUCCUUCAACAAUGUAGUCUUUUGAGUUAACAUUUGAGUUGUUUCAUUUGCUAAUUGAACUUUCUAACGAAGUUAUUCAUUUUCUGCCAACUGAUCAUGGUAAUCAAUAGGAGUAGUACUGAUGGGUUGAUACUAAAAGAUGGGUUGUUCUUCUUGGAGAUUCGAAGGCUUCUUCCAUCAAGUACACUAGUGCAAAAUACAAAUAUUGCAACACGCGAUGAAAAUCGUGUAAAACAUCACGCGAUGACAUUUUUGGCAUAAAUAUUACAUCGGUUGUACUCACAAUCGAUGUAAUAUAUUCAAAAUCACAUCGUUUGUGACAUUUUUGUAAUUUCUGCCAUGGAUAUUACAUCAGUUGUAUGGGGAACCGAUGUUAUAUGUGCUAUUUUAAAAUUUUAGGUUUCACGUUUUGAUGUUUACUUUUCUCUCAUGUGCUCAUUUGCAUUUCCAUUUUUGGUAGUUAAUUAUAUACUAAUUUAAAAAUUAUUUAUCAAUAAAAACUAAUUUAAAUACCAAUAAUUUUUUUAGUUUCUUAUUUCUUUCUAUCAGCAAAGAUUAAAUAAAUUAAAACUGAAUACUUUAGGAGUGUCUAGAAGUGUCAAAAAAAUCACUUCACCUAAGUACAAACCAAAACAUAACAACAAAUAUAUGCCUCAACUUUUUGACACAUCAGUUAUGCAGCAAAAUUCUGCAUAUUAUCCAUCAUUAGCAAAAUUUAUCAUCUUUUUGGCACAUCAAUUAGUGCUUUAUGGCAUAGUUAUGCAGUAAAAUUCUGCAUAAAUUCCAGCAUUAGCAAUGUAUUAUGAUGUAAUUCUGCUCACAACACUACUUGUUUUGGUGUGAAUCAAGAGCUAGUAGUUUCAUAUUUCAAAAAUUGGAAUAUCCUUAAAUGUUUUAAUAUAUUUUAUUUAUUUGAUGAAAAAAUAAAUAUCAACUUCUAUUAUUUGAAUGGACUGGUGGAAUCAUGUCCUUUGAUGUAACAAUGAUAAUGUCACGUAAACAAACAACACGAAUAAAUCCCAAAUGAAACUAGCAUUGUUCAUAAUAUAUAUUCUAUUAAAUCGUUUUCCCCUCAACAAAUAUUCUCUUAUCUUGAACAAAGGAAAAAUCAUCUUAAAUGAAGAAGUAUAUUUCUUUUCAAAGGAUCAUAUACCAGUUAGAGUAUCAAAUUUACGAUAAGAUCAUGAAUUAACAGCACUUUGUUAUGUGUUCAAUUAGAACCAAUCACACUUAUUCCUUUUAUUUAACGCUAGUUUUCUUUAUAACUUGAGAAACAAUACUUCAUACCCUCGUAAAAAGGGUUAUUCCAAAUAUUUAUUGUGCCCACUUUUUGCAUUCUGAGUUUCAUGUUUCACUAAUUAGCUUGUUUUUAUUUACAUAUAUAUAUAUUUUCUGAUAAUUUUAUAAAAUAAUAUAUUUUCUUCAAUUAAUAUACAUCAUGAGUCUUACUCUCAUGCUUCUCUUCCUGAAAUAUAGGCUUUACCUUAAUGAUCAAGUUUACUAGAAAAUUAUAUUCCCCUUUUAUAUAUUAUAUCAAAACAGAGUUUAAAGAAAAAAAUAAUUAUUCAAAAUUUAAUAUAUCAAGUAUAUUUAAAUUUUUCAUUUACUUGGCAAUCGAUAAAAAAAUCAAUACAAAAUAAAUGUAUUAAAAAAAUAUAUUAAUUUAUGUAUUAUUUUCAUUUAUAUUAAAAUAAAAUAAAAAAAAUAGAAAACUAAAUAUAUUAAAUGUAUGCAUCUGCAUAGUUGAUACGGAAUUUUCUAUAAAAUUUUUAUUAUAAAUUUUAAUCAGGGUGACUAAAGGUAUGCAUCUCCUUAGUUAAUAUUAGCAAUGAAAGUUUCUAUAAAAAAAUUAUUAUCAAUUUUAAUUAAAGUGAUUUAGUUUAUGUUUUCACUACAAGAAAACAAGCUAUUAGCUUUCAAAUAUUUGGGUGGGCCAGGACGCUAAUAUCGUUGGCUAAAAUGGCACAAACAAAACUCACAAAAUAGUAUUCGACGCAAAACCGACGCACUUGUGGAUUUAAUUUUUUUUUUUUUUAAAUUCAGUUUGCAUCGGCCGCGGCCCACACAUGUUUCACGUUCCCCACAUUAAUAAUAAUAAUAAUAAGUAUAAUACAAAUCAUAUUAUGAGAAAAGAAUUUAUUUGGUGUAGUGGUUAAAGUUUCUUUCUCACCAAGAGGACUUGAGUUUAAGUCUUGCCCAUUGCAGUUUGUGUCUACUAUUAAAUUUGCAUUUUAUAUAAAUUUUUUAUUUUUCAUCCUUUAUGCGUGGACUUGGCCCACGCAACCUGUGUCCAACUCACUGACCCACACUAUUGCUUCCAAGGUUUUUUCGUCCAACGAAAAUCCGACGCAUAAGCGUCCGUUUUUGGUUCACUCUAGAUUCUUGUUUUCUUGUAGUGUUUUAUUUUUAAUAUUUAUUUUAAUGUUGGUUUUAAUUAAUAAUAAUGUAAUUUAUUUUAAUAUUUAUUUAAUAACUUUAAUUCUUUUAAUACUUAUAUGCAAAUUUCUUUAGCAAAAUCUUCUCCAAUGCAAAUUUCUUUUAAUACAAUAAUUAGAAAUUUGAAAUUUUACUAUAAGGUUAUACCAAUGUAGAGCAAGGUCCAGAAAUUUGUCGCAAUGGGCCUUGGCAGGUCCCCAGGUUGUAAAUAUCUAUUGUUGGAAUAUGUUUUGGGAACUAUGAGAACUAGUUUAUUUUUUAGAAGAAUAAAAAUAUCUUUAAAUACUCUAAAUUUAUUAUUUUUUAUUGUUGAUAAAAAAUUUUAAAAAUUUCUUUUAAAACCUAAAGCUGUGACUUAGAUCUGAAUUUACGCCUAACAAACCCUAGAUAUACAACCCACAAAAAUGAAUUAUCUUAUUGACAACAACUAUGGCAAUAACAACAUAUGUAUCUUUUAAACCCUCACUUCUUCAGGCUUUCGAUGCAUCGAUUCAAUUGCAACAUCAUAUAUCACAACAUCUUUUCAUAUAUCACAACAUUUUUUUUAUUUCAAGUAACUUUGAACUAUGUCACACUUAUAUAAUCAUUGUUUAAAUAUAAAAAAUUAAUAAUUUUAUAAAUGCGGUUUAAAGACUACCAAAGACUACGUUUAAAAAAUCAUUAUUUAUUUAUAUCACAUUUUUUAAGUGUUGCCUUAAAAUGUGUGGGCUAAAACAAUAAAAGCAUAGCCUAAAAUUGACAACAAAUAUAUAAAUGUAGUGUAAAAGUGAAAAAUGCAACACUCUUACAAAUGUAGCCUAAACGUAGAUGCAAUAUUUAAAACUAAGAUAUUCUAAUUCGUAAAUAUGUUUGAUGACGCCAAAGAAAUCAUCUUGUCCUCCGUUUGUGACACCUUUUACACGCACCCCACACAAUUUGAAGUUUUCUUGCCUUCACUCCAUGCCUUUGUAUGAAACUUGUAUCCAUUAACAAAGUACAUGUUCCACGAUGUUGGAGAUAAAUUAGGUCCCCAAGCUAAUGCUUUCAUGUUUGGGUCAAUCACCCCAUUCCUCUCAUCAUAAACCUAUGAAAUAGUCACAUAGUUGUUAAAUUAAAUAACACUUAGUUACUAAAUUAAAUAACACUUACGUAGUUUUUAAACCAUUAUGGAAAAUGUUUAUGUAUACUCAUUGAAGCCUCUUUGUUGUUGUUGUUAACUUGUAAGAAUAAUCUUGAAAUAAAUAAGUAAUCAAUUAUACACUACAAUUUGACAAUAUUAAAGUUUGGUCCUGGAUCUCAUCAAAUAUACCGUCAACUAAUUUCUUAUUCUCUGAUUGAUGUCUUGAACCCUUGGUAUGUAUGCAUUCAACUUAGUUUUUUUUAUAAAGGGUUGAUCCUUGUAAUUCUUUUUAUUAUUGGUAGAGCUGGGAUAGACAGUAGGAGGUCUUUUUGGUUGAUAUGUAGAUGGAAAGGUACUUUGUGAGCAUCAUUUUGCUGUAUAAGAGUUGGAUCACCCCUGAAGUGGUCUCAUUUAAUUUCAUUGCUAUUUGCUGAUAAAAAAAACGUAAUCAAUACAAAUUGUUUUGUACUUCACUUACUCAAGUAUUGGUUUAACUUCAGAGGAUAUGUACAUGUGAAAAAUGAUAUUCGUCAUCAUUUAGCCAAUAUUCUUGAAUUGUGUCUACUAUUCUCAAACUUUUUCAUUUGAAUUCUGUUGUUCUAUACAGAACUACAACAAUGCAUAUGGUGGACAAGAGCUUUCCAUCCGCUGGUAUCCAGCGUAUUGCCAGCCCUUUUAUGACCUUGGUAGACCCAUUAUUCAAACAACCUAUGUUAAAAAGGUCAUCCCUAACAUGUCAUCUCAGGAGCUCACAGUUGUUGGCUUUUCAAAACCUACUUUAGCUUCUACCUCAAUUCCAAGCACUGGUUCAAUUAUCUAAACUCUAAGGAAAAUGAUAGUUUGACAAUCCAUAGAAUUGUAUACAACUCUUAAUAUGAUGUGUUUAGAAAUAAAUAUAUAUAAUAAAGAGUAAGUUUGGAAUUAAAUGAUAUGAAAAAAUAUUAAAAUAAUAGUUUUAGGAGUUAUAAUGUGGUUGUAUAAAAAAUAUGGGUUAUCAAUGUAUCAUUAUUCAAACUCUAAACAAUGCCACAAUUUUUUUGUUAUGACUAAAAUUUUCUUAUUGUUGACUAACUUUUUGGUUGUUAUGUAUUGAACAGGAUUAGAUUAUGGAGCAGUAUCUAAUCCAAAAUGCUUAAAUAGUGAUGAAGCAUAAUACUGAGAGCAUAUUCUUGAAUUGAUAUUUAUGAAGAAGUAUCAACUUAUCUUUAUUCCUUAUAUAAGAAAAAUAAGUUAUUUCCCCAGCAGAUCAAUGUAGCAAUUUAUCAGUAAAAAAAUCUAAGGAUUUACCUCAAGUGGUAGACUUCCACGAAAGUGUCUUCUCAAGCUCUCACAACAGACUUGUUCUCAAGCUCCCUUAUACCACUGAAAUCAAGAACGCGACCUUCAAAAAUAAAAUUCGUACUGAGAAUCAAAGACAACAAAACACAAACCUCGACCAAUAGAACACAAAAAGAAAGAAAUCAAGAUAGGGCGAAAUCUAGGGUUGAGUCUUCAACUCGUAGAAAUUGAAAAAGGAUGGAAAUCCAUCGUCAGAAUGGAGAUGGAGACUCAACCUUCAACUUGCAAAGAUUGAAAAAAAAGGAAAUGUGAAACUCACACUCACAAUCUCACGGUCUCACUCUCACAGAUCGCACAAAUUUGAAAAGAAGAAAAGUGUUUGGACACUGUUUUUGUCACGCUCAGUUUACAAUACACACUCAGUUUUCAAUCUUUUGUCCAACACACCCACACUCAGUUUUUAAUAAAUGUAAACAAAGAAUUAAUUGUUUGCAUAGAUUGAAAUUUCAUAAUUUUAUUAUAUAUUUAAAUUUAAUUUCAAAAUGCAUACACUACGUUUGUAGGUUUAACAUUCAAAACUUUAAAUUUUUAUUAUUAUUUAUAUUUUCAGUAGUGAGUAUUUGACCAACGUAACUUUUUUAUUUUAUUUUUUAAAAAUUUACGUCAGCACACAUCAUGCUUUAUUUGAUUUUUUUUAAAUAAUGAAGGUUUAGUUGACACUAUUUAGGUUUACCACAACUGUCACUUUUUUUAGCUAACUCUACUUUUUGGCGUAAUGGGUAUUGUGAUGAAAAUUGCAUGGGAUAAACUAUCUUCUUGCAAAUACAACACAAGCAACCUUUCGUACAACUAAGGCCCAAAGAUACCAGGACCUCAAACAAAAUAAAAUGUGCUAGUCAAGAGGGAUCUCAAAGAAGAACACAUUGAUUAAUCUCACAACAAAUAUUGUAUGCGUAUUUUUGGGUUCGAUGCGUAUUUGUGGGUUCGAGCACCAAUCAAAGUAUAAAAAACUAGCUUUUAAAUGACACGCGUUUUGGCUCUAUAAACCUUACCUAUUGUCGGCUAAGCCCUAAUAAUUAUAAGAAAAUGAUAAAAAAUGGUAAGAAGAAGAGAUGUUUCUUAUUCUCUUAUGUGUGUGUAUUACAUCACUUCAUGUAUAGGAAAUAUAUAGGGAGUUUCUCUCCCCAAAUUACAAUCUAAUUAGGUAGAUACUAAUCAUGAGAUUCUAUCAUUAUUAAAUUAAUUGCAUAUAAUUGGGUACAAUAUCGUACAAUAUCGUACAAUAUUGCAACAAUAAUUGUAUAUAAUUUGAUAAUUAUUAAUUCCUUAAUACUCCCCUCAAGUUGGUAGGUGAAGAUCAUGAACCCCCAACUUGUGUCGUAGCGUCAAAAAUCGUUCCUUGCCCAGUGCCUUCGUAAAAAUAUUUGCGAGCUGAUACUGUGUCGGUACAUAUGAAGGACUGAUUAUCCCAGCUUGUAUUUUUUCUCGCACAAUGUGGCAGUCUAUCUUAAUGUGUUUUGUGCGUUCAUGAAAUAUUGGGUUUGUUGCUAUAUGUAAUGCCGCUUGAUUGUCACAAAAAAGUUGAGCUGGCAAGUUACAUGGCACCUUUAAAUCCUGCAACAGAUAUCGCAACCAAACUAUCUCCAAACAAGUAUUGGUCAUCGCGCGGUAUUCUGCUUCCGUUGAUGAUCUUAAUACGUUUGUCUGUUUUUUUUUUUUACUUCCAUGAGAUAAUAGAAGAAUCAAGAAAAAUGCAAUACCCAGAUACUGAUCUCCGAGUUGUCUGACAACCUCCCCAGUCUGAGUCGCAAUAAGUUGUCAAUGUCAGAUUGUUUUCGGAUGGCAAUAACAAUCCUUGUUCUGACGAUCCUUUGAUGUACUUUAGGACUCGAAUUGCGACAUCCCAAUGAGGUUUCCGUGAAUCUGUAUAUAUUGAUUUAGGGUCCGAAUCGAAAAUGCUAUGUCAGGCCGAGUAACCGUGAGGUAUAUCAGUCGUCCCACGAGUCGCCUGUAUUUUACUGGAUCCUUUAAUAACUCUCCAUCAUCUGGUGUGAGUUUUAGGUAUUGUUCCAUUGGAAAUUUGUCUGGACGAGCACCUGUGAGUCCCGUAUCCUGCAAAAUAUCAAGCGCAUAUUUUCUUUGGGACAUGUAAAUACCAGCUUUGGAACAGGAAAAUUUAAUCCCUAGAAAAUAUUUUAGGUCUCCAAGAUCUUUAAUGCGAAAUUGUAGUAAUAGACAAUCUUUAACACACUGAAUUUUUGUCAAAUCAUUUCUUGUUAAAAGAAUAUCAUCCCCAUAAAUCAAAAGGGCAGUAAAUGAUGAGUUAUUAUGUCUUGUGAAUAGAGAGUAAUCUGUCUUGGACUAUUGAAAUCCUACAGAUUUAAUCACAUGAGAAAAUGUUGAAAACCAUGUCCGAGAUGCUUGUUUGAGACCAUAAAGGGAUUUGUUGAGUCGGCAUACAAUGUUCUCCCCCUGUCGAUGAUGCCCGGGUAGAAAGUCCAUGUAAAUAAUUUCAUGCAAUGUGCCAUGUAAGAAGGCAUUUUGCACAUCUAGCUGGUGAGUAAAGUAAUUUCUAGUUGUUAUAAUGGUGAGGAGACACCUCAAAGUUGUUAAUUUUGUUGUUGGUGAAAAAGUUUCAGAAUAGUCGACACCUUCAAUCUGAGUGUACCCUUUUGUGACAAGGCGCGCCUUAUAUCUGUCGACGCUACCAUCUGAGUUGUACUUUAUUUUAUAGACCCAUUUGCAUCCGAUGGGUAUCUGCCCAGCGGGUAACGGUGUCAAGGUCCACGUUUGAUUUAGAUGCAAGACAGAAAACUCUUCGUCCAUUGCUUUUUUGCCAAUUUGGAUCAAGGAUAGCUUGAGCAUAAGUGUGAGGUUCUUUGGUUGCUAUGAUGUUAGCAAGAUAUGCACUAUGUGAAGAAAAUCGUGAAUUAGAAAGAAAAUGAUGCAUAGGAUACCUGGUUCCAUUCGGCCGGUCUUUGGCAGUAGUAGAAUGAUUGGCUUGGGAUCCCGUUACGUAGCCUUGAAGCCAAGAAGGUGGGGUUGAUGUGUGACUGGACCGUCGAACAGGAAGGUCGGUUGGAGAAGGUUUUGUAAUGGGUGCUAGACUUCUUGGCAUGGGAGAAGAAGGUUGGUCUAUUGGAGGUUCAGGUGUAUUAUGACGAGUAUGAGACAAAGGUUGGUGUGAUGGAGGUUCAGGUGCAUUGUGACGAGUAGGAGAAGAGGAUUGGUUUGAUGGAGGUUCAGGUAUAUUGUGACGAUUAGGAGAAGAAAGUUGGUUUGAUGGAGGUUCAGGUGCAUUGUGAUGAGUAAGAGAAGAAGGUUGAUCGAGUGAAUGUUGGACAGGAGUGGGUAAGUCAAUAUCAAUAGUGAGAAAAAUACCUUGUAAUGGAGGUGAGGAUUGUGUCUGUGACUGUUGACAGAAUGGGAAAACACUUUCAUGGAAGAUGACAUCCCGACUUGUAAAAAAGUUCCUGCAUCUAUAUCAAAUAAUUUUUAUGCUUUUUGACUGUGAGGAUAACCAAUGAAGAUCCAUUUUCGAGCGUGCGGAUCAAAUUUUUGCUUAGGUGAAAUAACAGUGGCGUAACAGAGGCAACCAAAAGUUUUUAGGUGAGAAAGUGAAGGUGGUUGAUUAUAUAGUAGCUCAAAAGAAAUUUUUUUGGUAAAGCCAUGAAAUUUUUUCUAUCAAAUUGCCAUGGCCUACCUAAAAGUAUAUGAGUAGCUUCCAUUGGAACAACAUCACACAAGACCUCAUCUUUAUAUUUGCCAAUGGAAAAUGUAAUGAGGACUUGUUUGUUCACUACUAUUUCACCCACCUCGCUCAACCAUUGUAACUUGUAGGGCUUGGCAUGAGAGAUGGUAGGCAAUCCAAGUUUGUCUACCACUCUUGUGCUUGCCACAUUCACACAACUCCCCCCAUCCACAAUCAAAGAGCAUACUCUAUCACUAAUAAGACACCUGGAAUGAAAGAUAUUUUCUCUUUGAGUUUCAUCAAAAGGUUUUAACACUUGUCCAAGCAUGCGUCUUAUUACUAAUAGGUCACCCUCAUGUGGGCUUUCACUUUCACUCUCACUUGGGGAUCUAGAAGGUGAGAAAUGUCUAGAAGAUUCGGACCCAUGCUCACUACUAUCUACCCCAUCAUGCAUAUACAUAGCUCGUUUAGAAGGGCAAUUAGAAGCAAUAUGUCCAUAGCUUAAGCAUUUAAAACACUUCUUACUAGACGUUUUAUAUGGUGAUUUAGGCCUAGAAUUGGAAGUGGAAGGCUUAAACUCUCUAGGUUUGAAAGUAGAGUUCUUAGAAGGGAUAUUUGAAAAAGAGUUAUUUUUAUUUUUCCAAGAAGAGUGGUAGUAGUUAUCCUUAGAAGAAUUUUUGAAAGCAUUUUUCCUUGCAAGUUGAUUUUCAAUUUUGCUAGCAAGGUGCACCACAUUUUCCAAGGAAGUAUAUUCUUGUAACUCUACCACGUCUUGAAUGUCCCUUCGAAGGCCACUCACAAACCUAGCUAUAUUAGCUUCCUCACUCUCAUCCAUAUUAACUCNNNNNNNNNNNNNNNNNNNNNNNNNNNNNNNNNNNNNNNNNNNNNNNNNNNNNNNNNNNNNNNNNNNNNNNNNNNNNNNNNNNNNNNNNNNNNNNNNNNNNNNNNNNNNNNNNNNNNNNNNNNNNNNNNNNNNNNNNNNNNNNNNNNNNNNNNNNNNNNNNNNNNNNNNNNNNNNNNNNNNNNNNNNNNNNNNNNNNNNNNNNNNNNNNNNNNNNNNNNNNNNNNNNNNNNNNNNNNNNNNNNNNNNNNNNNNNNNNNNNNNNNNNNNNNNNNNNNNNNNNNNNNNNNNNNNNNNNNNNNNNNNNNNNNNNNNNNNNNNNNNNNNNNNNNNNNNNNNNNNNNNNNNNNNNNNNNNNNNNNNNNNNNNNNNNNNNNNNNNNNNNNNNNNNNNNNNNNNNNNNNNNNNNNNNNNNNNNNNNNNNNNNNNNNNNNNNNNNNNNNNNNNNNNNNNNNNNNNNNNNNNNNNNNNNNNNNNNNNNNNNNNNNNNNNNNNNNNNNNNNNNNNNNNNNNNNNNNNNNNNNNNNNNNNNNNNNNUGCCGAAUAGGAGGAAGAGUUCUUCUCUCAUGGUUUUGAUGCAUUUCUUCUCGGUUUAACUCCAAACUUUGGAGCCGUGCCUCCAUUUUCCUUAUCACCUCAAGAUAGUGAGCAUUGGAUUGCUUGGCAUUCUUUAAGUCUUCAUAAAGGGCUGCCUUUUGUGGUGAGCACGGUUUGGAGGACUCUCCACUAGAAAAAUGAGCCAUGAGCAGAAAAUACACAAAAACAGGAAACAAAACAGUGAAAGAAACUUGUUAGACAAUUAAAAGGGAGAUAUAGGUUGCUGGAAAUUGCCCAAGAAAGUACUCAAGCCACUCCAAGAAAGUAUGCUGUCCUCAACCAAGCCUUUCUUGUGGAAUAGAGGAGCUUCAAAUGAAAUAAUGUCACAGCAAACCAACUUACUUAAGAACAAGUCUCCACACAAGAAAGACAAACAAGAAAAGGUAUAAACUAGAAAAGCUAAACCAAA